CAGCCGCCACGGGAAUACAGAGGAUGCAAGCGUUAAUCGGAAUUACUGGGCGUAAAGCGCGCGUAGGUGGUUUGUUAAGUUGGAUGUGAAAGCCCCGGGCUCAACCUGGGAACUGCAUCCAAAACUGGCAAGCUAGAGUACGGUAGAGGGUGGUGGAAUUUCCUGUGUAGCGGUGAAAUGCGUAGAUAUAGGAAGGAACACCAGUGGCGAAGGCGACCACCUGGACUGAUACUGACACUGAGGUGCGAAAGCGUGGGGAGCAAACAGGAUUAGAUACCCCCGUAGUCCCUGUCUCUUAUAC
rnacentral:rRNA from 1 species